CCAGCAAGACUACUAAAGUCCCUAUGUUAUUUCAGGUUUCUACAAACUAUAUUGUCACAAAAGUUUCAAAAUACCCUGAGAACUUUCAAGAUUAUAUUCACAUUAUCACACAACACUUCUGCCAUUUCCAGAUGGCAUGAAAGCUAUGGCAGGAAUGAAGAGACAAGAUGCUCAGGCUUUCCGAUGGCCUCUCUGUAAGUUAACUAAAUCUGUUUUUCACCUAGGCACUGAAUUUCUCAUUGUAUUUACUUUCAAGUCCACUAUCUAGGAGUUGGGUAUUUAAUUUUAUUUUCUCUCACUUUACUCUGAAUUUCUCAGAAACCCUUUAGUACUCUUCUAGUUAUAACAUUUCACCCUUAAUUACCAUUCUACAACUU